rnacentral:rRNA from 1 species
UACAGAGGCCUCAAGCGUUAGGCGGAAUCACUGGGCUUAAAGCGUGUGUAGGCGGGUCGUUAAGUACCUUGUGAAAUCCCACGGCUUAACUGUGGAACUGCUUGGUAUACUGGCGAUCUUGAGCCACUUAGGGGCUACCGGAACAGAUGGUGGAGCGGUGAAAUGCGUAGAUAUCAUCUGGAACGCCAAUGGUGAAAACAGGUAGCUGGGAGUGUGCUGACGCUGAGACACGAAAGCCAGGGGAGCGAACGGG